AUCCCAGUUCGGAUUGCAGGCUGAAACCCGCCUGUAUGAAGUUGGAAUCGCUAGUAAUCGCGGAUCAGCAUGCCGCGGUGAAUACGUUCCCGGGCCUUGUACACACCGCCCGUCACACCAUGAGAGUCGGGAACACCCGAAGUCCGUAGCCUAACCGCAAGGGGGCGCGGCCGAAGGUGGGUUCGAUAAUUGGGGUGAAGUCGUAACAAGGUAUC
rnacentral:rRNA from 1 species